rnacentral:rRNA from 1 species
UACGUAGGGCGCAAGCGUUGUCCGGAAUUAUUGGGCGUAAAGAGCUCGUAGGCGGCUUGUCACGUCGGGUGUGAAAGCCCGGGGCUUAACCCCGGGUCUGCAUUCGAUACGGGCAGGCUAGAGUGUGGUAGGGGAGAUCGGAAUUCCUGGUGUAGCGGUGAAAUGCGCAGAUAUCAGGAGGAACACCGGUGGCGAAGGCGGAUCUCUGGGCCAUUACUGACGCUGAGGUGCGAAAGCUAGGGGAGCGAACAGG